rnacentral:rRNA from 1 species
CGGAGGUGGCAAGCGUUACUCGGAAUCAUUGGGUGUAAAGGGCAAGUAGGCGGUUUGGUAAGUGGGGGGUGAAAUGCUCCGGCUCAAUCGGAGAAAUGCCCUCCAAACUAUCAGACUUGAGUACAUCAGGGGAAAUGGAAUUCUAGGUGUAAGGGUGAAAUCUGUAGAUAUCUAGAAGAACACCAGCGGCGAAGGCGAUUUCCUGGGAUGUUACUGACGCUAAAUUGCGAAAGCUAGGGGAGCAAACAGAAUUAGAUACUCUGGUAGCCCUAGCCGUAAACGAUGAGCACUAGGUGUUGGUCCCUUUAGGGAUCAGUGCCGCAGCUAACGCAUUAAGUGCUCCACCUGGGGACUACGGUCGCAAGGCUA